rnacentral:rRNA from 1 species
UACGUAGGGGCCAAGCGUUGUCCGGAUUUAUUGGGCGUAAAGAGCUCGUAGGCGGUUGGGUAAGUCGGGUGUGAAAACUCCAGGCUCAACUUGGAGAUGCCACCCGAUACUGCUCUGACUUGAGUUCGGUAGGGGAGACUGGAAUUCCUGGUGUAGCGGUGGAAUGCGCAGAUAUCAGGAGGAACACCGAUGGCGAAGGCAGGUCUCUGGGCCGCAACUGACGCUGAGGAGCGAAAGCAUGGGGAGCGAACAGG